AGUGAAGAGAAAUAGGCACUGAUUUAUGGAAUUGGGUAUUUUUUGGUAAGUCUUAGUUGUGUUUCUAUCUGAUCAUUAGAUACUUUCACAACACAGGAGCUGGCUGCUUUCUUGCUACAGGAGAGCAACUGGGGAGUAUCUCUGCUUCAGGUAUCUGCUUUUGGUGUUAGUAGUUUCCUGUACCUUGUGCUUGUUUAUUUUAUGUAUUAAUGUAGUUGCAGCUUGGAUCACCUGAUCCAGAUAUAGUAUAAAUUGUUCUUUUCCACACACCCCAUUAGGCGUGUUCGGGUGGUGUAUGCGGACUUGUUAAUGCACAAUAAGCGUAUGCUUCAGCUUGCAUCAUAGUGACGUGCAGAAGACCUCUUAAGUGAGAUGAGUUUCGAGAAUCUGUUCUACAAAGCCAGGUGAUCAUAACACAAAUAGUAAUCUGGUAAGUAUUUAGCCUCAGAGUCUGCUUCUGUCCAUUACUUCUUUAAACCCAAGUUUUCCAAGUACAGAAGCUUUGGGGCUCUGCUCGAUUUUCCACUGCUGCCAAGUUCAUACCCCACAAACAGGAAAUAAAACUGUCUAUCACAGAGGUAAGGUCUUCUAACAGCCCAACCCCCAAAAUAGUGAAUUGGGCAGAACUGGUCAAUGAGAGCACCUGAUUUAAGGUGCACUUUGUCAUGAAGAUCCUAACCCUAAAUUCCAGAUGGUUAGUCACACAGCUGCUCCCCUCCCUUGCAAAAAAAAGCUGGGAAGUCUAGGGACAGUUCUCAGCAAAGUUAGAAGUGUAGAUACACAAAACCCCCAAACCUGGUAUCCUUAUUAGCCUGUCGUGUUUCAGCCUGGCCAUUAAAUGCUGUUGUAUGUAAUGACAGCAAGUAUGGCUCUGUCAUGCCAUCAAAGAAAUGAAGAAAUUAAUACUAGCUUUAUUUAAGCAUAGUUUAAGUGGACAACCCAAAUAUUUAAAAUAAUUUUAGAAAUAACAUUCCAGCUUACAUACUUGUCUAUCUGCUUAAUGCUGACAGUACACAAACAAUUCAUUUCUUCCACAAAAAAAAAAGCUUUUGAGCUAAAUGAUGAAUGGGCGGAAGCCACGACUGAGUUGUUUGUGUGUGUCUGUGGAGAAGUUAAAUUGGCAGGAUUGGCUUCCUUCUUCCUAAGCAGCGCAAUGGUAGCUCUUAGCCAAGGAGCUGUAAUGUAUUUUGGAAAAAUGAAACCUUUAAACACAUCGCUGGCCAUACAGGCUGACCAAAAUUCCUUCAGUGUUAUCCCGUUUUGACUGACAGCAUUUUGGCAAACUGUGUGUCUGGGCCCGUGUCUAUGGGUAACUGCGGCCUUGCUUUCCUAAUCCAGUUAUCAAUAAAAGCUGCUGUGGCAGCAAUAUGUAGGGAGUAGGUAGAGCUAAACCAUUAGGAAAGCUAAUAGCUGUAUCUGGGGACAGGUUUUUAGCAGGAGAGGAAGAAUGGGGUGCUAAGAUGGCUCUAGGGAUCUCCCCUCUAUACCCCGUGCUAGCAGCUUCUGUUACAGCGUGUGUGUACACGCAGCGUCCAGCUCGUGUGCUGACAUCCAGCCCUUCUCAUCGCAGCUGCAGGCAGCCAUAGUCCUGAGCUCAUCUAUGAGGGCUUGUCUACACACAUCUGCUCAGAAGUUAUUCUGGAAUAACCACGUUUAAGUGUGUGCCUAUGUUUGUAUGUGUGUGUGUGCCUUUAUAUUUUUCAAUAUGCAUAAACUGUUUCAGCAUAACUCAAACAAAAGCAAUGCUUUGGAGUAAGAAGUUCUGUGCUCUGAGACUUAGUUGGGACUAGCCAGAGCAUUUUGAAUGCCUGUUGUACUCUCAUCUGCAUCAGCUGUCACGUCUAAAUGAGCCCUUGGAAGAUAAUUACAAACUUUCACUGGGACGAGUCCACUUAAGCUAUGGAUAAGCAAGGUUAGCUUAAACUUGUUUUCUUAACGAGCAAGAACAGUUUGAUCCACUGUUCAGAACAAACCUUACUCUAUAGAAGUUAAGUCUUUGAAUACAUCAGUAAUUAAUGGGCAGGAGGAAGUGUGAUUAGGAUGUUAGGUUUUCCUGCCACACUCAGAGCCAGGAAUGUUAACCUUUUCAGCUGUUUUAGAAAGAAGCUCCUGGCUAGUUAAACUUCUGCAUGUAAGGUAAGUAGUUUCAUGUCAACAGCAGGAUUGGAGGAGAGGUUGGAAUUAAGGUCUCCUAAAUAUUUCCAAAUCAAGCUAGUGCCAGUGCUCUUUGUUUUAUGGGUAUCUGCACAGAGGUUUCAUCAGCAGUUCUUGUCUUCUUACUCCUACUAGUUCAACCUCACUUCUGAUAGCAACAGUGGGAGCCCUAAUGCAGAGACGGCUCUGAGGGACCAGUGUUUCCUCAAGGCCUCUGCUUUCCCAGGGCUUGCCUGUGAACUGCAGUGCUUGAAAUGUUGAGGACUGCCAGCUUCUUGGCCAGCAAGUGCUCACAGUGGUGGGAAAUAAGCAUGAGGCAGAUGAGACCAAGGCUUCCAGUGGAGGGCUCACAAAGUAGAACAGUCCAGCAAAAACACUGAUGCAUGGAUUUUCUCAUCUCUCACUCAUAUCCACUGUCCAAACAACCUGAUAAGAAAUGCCAGCUUUUCCCGGCUUGCAGUGACUCAAAAUAAAAGUGAAUUCAACAAGUGCUCUCAGUAUUUUAUUUCUGUACUUACAGAAGUGACCACUUCUCUGGUGGUUUAACUAACAAUUUCUACAUUUAAAAAUCACGUGUGACUCCUAUAGUACAUCCUCUGUUGCCAUGUGCACUUUGCAGGUCCCAUGGCUAAACUGGACUGAACUACUGCUUGAGCAACCUGGAUUUUCAGAACCACCACAGUAUUCCUCAGAAAUUCCCAGUUUACCCCUGUGACAUCUUUAUUUCAUGUAGCAAACUAGAAUAAAUGAAGCAAUUAGAAGAUUUGUGAUUGUCCUUACUGGAGGGGGGAACAAGCUAAGCUCUCUGCAAUAAUGCCAGGUCCAUGAAGAGGUUAUAAGCUUUGGGAAUAAGUUUUUAAAAAUAAUUCAAACUGUAUUUUAAUGUGGCGACCUUAUUUAUAGACCAGGCAAUUCUGAGCCACAGCUGUUGGCGAGAUGGUGUUUUCUUAAGGAAACAGUUUAUUUCUCCUUUACUGAAAGAGAUCAGUAGUAACUUUCACCAAGCUACUGUCCAACUUGGGUUACAGCUGGGAUGGGACAGGGACUUGAAGAAAGUUGUGUCCAGGUUCUCCAUUCCUGGAAAAGAUGCAAGAUUUUAGCUGAAAUCAGCAAGGAUGAUAGACUUGGAGGUGAGAGUUCCCAGAGUCUCCAACAAGCAGCUUUGAACUUUCUGUGGCUUUUUUGGUAUGAUAAAUAUUUGCAGUCCCCUGUGAAGGUUCUCCUCUGAAGAUCAUCUAAUAGGAGUGGUCAGGUCAGCCAAGGUAGCCCCUUUUUAUUGAAGGGGCAAAACUGCACAUGAAAUUCCACAACCAUUGAGCUUGUGAGACCCAAGUUUCUUGUUUUCUCAAAAAAACCAAA